GACGAACGCUGGCGGCGUGCUUAACACAUGCAAGUCGAACGGUAAGGCUCCAGCUUGCUGGGGUACACGAGUGGCGAACGGGUGAGUAACACGUGGGUGACCUGCCCUGCACUUCGGGAUAAGCCUGGGAAACUGGGUCUAAUACCGGAUAGGACCGCACCGUGAGGGUGUGGUGGAAAGUUUUUUCGGUGUGGGAUGGGCCCGCGGCCUAUCAGCUUGUUGGUGGGGUAAUGGCCUACCAAGGCGGCGACGGGUAGCCGGCCUGAGAGGGUGGACGGCCACAUUGGGACUGAGACACGGCCCAGACUCCUACGGGAGGCAGCAGUGGGGAAUAUUGCACAAUGGGCGGAAGCCUGAUGCAGCGACGCCGCGUGGGGGAUGACGGCCUUCGGGUUGUAAACUCCUUUCACCAUCGACGAAGGGUUUCUGACGGUAGAUGGAGAAGAAGCACCGGCUAACUACGUGCCAGCAGCCGCGGUAAUACGUAGGGUGCGAGCGUUGUCCGGAAUUACUGGGCGUAAAGAGCUCGUAGGUGGUUUGUCGCGUCGUCUGUGAAAUUCCGGGGCUUAACUCCGGGCGUGCAGGCGAUACGGGCAUAACUUGAGUACUGUAGGGGAGACUGGAAUUCCUGGUGUAGCGGUGAAAUGCGCAGAUAUCAGGAGGAACACCGGUGGCGAAGGCGGGUCUCUGGGCAGUAACUGACGCUGAGGAGCGAAAGCAUGGGGAGCGAACAGGAUUAGAUACCCUGGUAGUCCAUGCCGUAAACGGUGGGCGCUAGGUGUGGGUUUCCUUCCACGGGAUCCGUGCCGUAGCUAACGCAUUAAGCGCCCCGCCUGGGGAGUACGGCCGCAAGGCUAAAACUCAAAGGAAUUGACGGGGGCCCGCACAAGCGGCGGAGCAUGUGGAUUAAUUCGAUGCAACGCGAAGAACCUUACCUGGGCUUGACAUAUACAGGAUCGCGCCAGAGAUGGUGUUUCCCUUGUGGCUUGUAUACAGGUGGUGCAUGGUUGUCGUCAGCUCGUGUCGUGAGAUGUUGGGUUAAGUCCCGCAACGAGCGCAACCCUUGUCUUAUGUUGCCAGCACGUUGUGGUGGGGACUCGUAAGAAACUGCCGGGGUUAACUCGGAGGAAGGUGGGGAUGACGUCAAAUCAUCAUGCCCCUUAUGUCCAGGGCUUCACACAUGCUACAAUGGUCGGUACAGUGGGUUGCCAGUCCGUGAGGGCGAGCUAAUCCCGCAAAGCCGGUCUCAGUUCGGAUCGGGGUCUGCAACUCGACCCCGUGAAGUCGGAGUCGCUAGUAAUCGCAGAUCAGCAACGCCGCGGUGAAUACGUUCCCGGGCCU
rnacentral:rRNA from 1 species